rnacentral:rRNA from 1 species
UAGGGAAUCUUCGGCAAUGGACGGAAGUCUGACCGAGCAACGCCGCGUGAGUGAAGAAGGUUUUCGGAUCGUAAAGCUCUGUUGUAAGAGAAGAACGAGUGUGAGAGUGGAAAGUUCACACUGUGACGGUAUCUUACCAGAAAGGGACGGCUAACUACGUGCCAGCAGCCGCGGUAAUACGUAGGUCCCGAGCGUUGUCCGGAUUUAUUGGGCGUAAAGCGAGCGCAGGCGGUUAGAUAAGUCUGAAGUUAAAGGCUGUGGCUUAACCAUAGUAGGCUUUGGAAACUGUUUAACUUGAGUGCAAGAGGGGAGAGUGGAAUUCCAUGUGUAGCGGUGAAAUGCGUAGAUAUAUGGAGGAACACCGGUGGCGAAAGCGGCUCUCUGGCUUGUAACUGACGCUGAGGCUCGAAAGCGUGGGGAGCAAACAGGAUUAGAUACCCUGGUAGUCCACGCUGUAAACGAUGAGUGCUAGGUGUUAGACCCUUUCCGGGGUUUAGUGCCGUAGCUNACGCAUUAANCACUCCGCCUGGGGAGUACGACCGCAAGGUUG